UACGUAGGGUGCGAGCGUUGUCCGGAAUUACUGGGCGUAAAGCGCGUGUAGGCGGAUCGGAAAGUCGGGCGUGAAAUCCCCAGGCUCAACCUGGGAACUGCACCCGAAACUCCCGGUCUUGAGUGGUGGAGAGGGAAGUGGAAUUCCUGGUGUAGAGGUGAAAUUCGUAGAUAUCAGGAGGAACACCAGUGGCGAAGGCGGCUUCCUGGACACCAACUGACGCUGAGACGCGAAAGCGUGGGGAGCAAACAGG
rnacentral:rRNA from 1 species